rnacentral:rRNA from 1 species
UGAGGAAUUUUCCGCAAUGGGCGAAAGCCUGACGGAGCAAUGCCGCGUGGAGGAAGAAUGCCUUAGGGUUGUAAACUCCUUUUCUCAUUGAAGAAUCAUGACGGUAUUUGAGGAAUAAGCAUCGGCCAAUUUCGUG